AUUGAACGCUGGCGGCGUGCCUAACACAUGCAAGUCGAGCGGUAACAGGCGUAGCAAUACGUGCUGACGAGCGGCGGACGGGUGAGUAACGCUUAGGAAUCUACCUAGUAGUGGGGAACAACCCGGGGAAACUCGGGCUAAUACCGCAUACGCCCUACGGGGAAAGGCGGGGACGUUUCGGGUCCGUCGCGCUAUUAGAUGAGCCUAAGUCCGAUUAGCUAGUUGGUAGGGUAA
rnacentral:rRNA from 1 species